rnacentral:piRNA from 1 species
GCAGAAAUGAUUCAGGGGAAAAUCGGGCAG